GUUGGGGUGGCAGAGCCCGGAUACUGCGAAAGACCUAAGCCCUUUGAACAGAGGUUCAAAUCCUCUCCCCAACU
rnacentral:tRNA from 1 species